ACCAGGGGCAGUGGAAGAAGCAUUGGGUCCUUGGACCUCUUGCUGGAUCUGAGGUCAGACUGGAGGGAAUAGUUUGCCCCCUCCCCAGCCUGCUGUCACCACCCCUGCCCUUCCUCUGCUUCCCCACCUGGGGAAAGGGGAUGGGAGACAGCACACACUCCCUUGGAGUUCCUCCCAGCUGGAGGGUAGAGUUAGACAAGGCUCAGUGUUGUAGUACGAUGGUCUUUGCCCACCUGUGACCCAGCCUUUUGUAGUAUUUUGACACUUGAUGCAGGGAAGGAGCCAGAAGCAGAGGGGUGUGAGCAUGCUCGUGGAGGCGUAUCUGGGUUCACCCUGUAUUUAUGUGUUUGUGUGCAGCUGUGCGGAUGUACCUUUGAGUGACUCAAGCUCCAAGGGCCUCUGUGUGAGCUGGGUGUGUUUACAAGGGAUCAGCGCCUUCCAACUCUGUGGCUUCACCCCCUCCCCGGGCUGCUCUCAGUCCCAAAACAUUUUACUAAAGUCAUGGGGGACGGGUGCUAGUUGGCCUUCCUGUUUCUCCCCACAGCCUACCUCCACCAGGGCUUCACAUUUGGAGCUCUGCCUCCAUAUGGCUGUCCACUAGCCCCACCCAGGCAUGGUUCAUCCCUGGAGUUCUGACUUGUUUAUGGAGCCAACUCAAGUUCUUCUUGCCCGGAGCUUUGCCUUUUGUAAGGCAGGGACCCUCCCUUAACCAGAGUUUACCCCAGUAGCUGACCAAGCAUGGGGUGCUACCCACAUGCCUCACCUUCCCACUCCUCCUCACAAGUCCUGGAGGGAGUUUUAAGACUUGCUUAUGGCCUUGAAAGAAGCCAGGGUUGUAGCCCUGUGCUCCCCUUGAAGUAGCUGGCACAUUGUAGGCCCUCAGUAAAUGCUGAAUGGGUGGAUGACAGGUGCUCAAUAAAUGUGGAUUCACGGCCUCAUCUCAGGCCCAUCCUUCAAGGCUGAGCUUGGCCACCAUUACAGUUGUGGGUGAAGCCCCUAUAGUUCACAGUGUGCUACUCAACAGUUUGCCAUCUGCUUCCCGAAAGCAAACCUGGCUUGUGAUUGCCAUGUACGGAUGCGUGCAUGCACUGUGUGUGUGUGUGCGUGCGUGUGCGUGUCUGUGUCUGCACACACACGUAUGAGUUCUUGUGUGUCUCUGUCCCUGACUGAAGGGGCAGUCUGUGAAUGAGUAUGUGACAUUUCUGCAGUUUAGUAUCCCCAGGUUUCUCCUGGGGCUAUGCAGGGGCUUCUGGCUGGCCAGGUAAAUGGAUCCCUGGGAACCUAGACCUCAAAUGGGGACUUAUUUUCUUCCUCUCACAAGCCAAAUUUGCCUACUCUCCACUCCCUAUACAGAACUGGGUAUUUGCCAAAGUAGCCUCUGGCGUCAUCCAGUGCCCUUCCCACCCAGGUUCCCCUCUGCUUUCAGGGAUAGUGGGACCGAGGGCCACCCCCACAUGCCUCAGUUUAGCACAUUUCCUCCAUCCCCAGCAGUGCAUCCACCCACCCUCCCCAACUCCAACAGGAAGGAAGAAAGAAAUGCACCUUCUCUUGCUCGUUAUUUAUUUGUUUGGAGAGACAGAAAUGAUGGAAAAGUAUCUAAAUCUAUCUCUCUCUCUAUUUUUACCUAACUCUCUGGAACCCCUGUGGGGGAAUGUAGGCUCUCCUAAGAGGCUGGGAGCUCCUUGUUCUACCCUGUCUGCCUCUACAUAAGCAGAAGGGGUGGGAUGUAAUGGGGCAGGAGGGCUGAGAUUCCCAAGGAGAAUCUGAAUUCUCUACCCCCAUUCAAGUCCCAGAAAGAGGGAAGAAGGGAGGGAUGGGCCAGCCAAGAGCUGACCCGUCCCCAAACUUGACAAUCACCCACACUCCUGGCUCCUGGGUCUGGGUGAGUCCAAGUGUGUGGCUGUUGGUUUGUUUUCAUUAUUUCUUUCCGUGCUGUACGGUGAUGCUUUCUAGUAUUCUGCACAUUAAGAAAAGUCCUCGAGAUUCUUACGAGUUUGGUUUGAAAACUCUUUCACUAUAUUUGUUGUAAAGAGGUUUACU
rnacentral:lncRNA from 1 species